AUUCAAAUGAAGAGUCCCAAAUAGGACGAAAUCCGCAUCCUGGAU
rfam:Trichobilharzia regenti genome assembly, scaffold: TRE_scaffold0008369